AGUGGGGAAUAUUGGACAAUUUNCGCAAGCCUGAUCCAGCCAUGCCGCGUGUGUGAAGAAGGCCCUCGGGUUGUAAAGCACUUUCAGUGGGGAAGAAAGCCUCGCGGCUAACAUCCGCGAGGAAGGACAUCACCCACAGAAGAAGCACCGGCUAACUCCGUGCCGGCAGCCGCGAUAAUACGGAGGGUGCGAGCGUCAAUCGGAAUUACUGGGCGCAAAGCGCGCGUAGGUGGCUUGAUAAGCCGGUUGUGAAAGCCCCGGGCUCAACCUGGGAACGGCAUCCGGAACUGUCAGGCUAGAGUGCGGGAGAGGAAGGUAGAAUUCCCGGUGUAGCGGUGAAAUGCGUAGAGAUCGGGAGGAAUACCAGUGGCGAAGGCGGCCUUCUGGACUGACACUGACACUGAGGUGCGAAAGCGUGGGUAGCAAACAGGAUUAGAUACCCUGGUAGUCCACGCCGUAAACGAUGUCGACUAGCCGUUGGGUCCUUCGCGGACUAUGUGGCGCAGUUAACGCGAUAAGCCGACCGCCAGGGGAGUACGGCCGCAAGGUUA
rnacentral:rRNA from 1 species